rnacentral:lncRNA from 1 species
UUAAUAUUAUUCAUGUUAUUUAUUUGAAUAUUUUAUGUAAUUAAGAAUUUAUAUAAAUCAUUGGUAGAUAAACAAGUUUAAAAAUGUAUGUGUAUGAGAAAUAAUUAAUUAUAUUGCAUUGUUAUUAAAGAUACAAAAAAAAAUAUCAAGAAAGUAAAGACAAAUAUGAAAGAGAAGUUGGGAUAAAUUUAUUUGAUUAUUUUUCAUCAUAUUAAUUAUUUUAAAAGGUUCAGUGGGAUUAAAGUACUUCAAAUGGGGUCAGAGGUGAUAGAUACACAGUCUAUGUUUUUGUUUGUGCUUGUUUAAUGUUAAAGAGGCACUGAAAAGGAUUAUUAGUUCACUAGGUCACAAUUACUGUCAUUGAAAAAUGAGACAGACUGCAUAAGUUAUGAAUGUAGAACAUAAGUUGACUUUCUAAUUUAGAACAAAAUUAGUCACAUCUUCCAAACCAACGGGAAUCUGUU